rnacentral:rRNA from 1 species
GAUGAACGCUGGCGGCGUGCCUAAUACAUGCAAGUCGAGCGAACAGAUGAGGAGCUUGCUCCUCUGACGUUAGCGGCGGACGGGUGAGUAACACGUGGAUAACCUACCUAUAAGACUGGGAUAACUUCGGGAAACCGGAGCUAAUACCGGAUAAUAUAUUGAACCGCAUGGUUCAAUAGUGAAAGACGGUUUUGCUGUCACUUAUAGAUGGAUCCGCGCCGCAUUAGCUAGUUGGUAAGGUAACGGCUUACCAAGGCAACGAUGCGUAGCCGACCUGAGAGGGUGAUCGGCCACACUGGAACUGAGGCACGUUCCAGACUCCUACGGGAGGCAGCAGUGGGGAAUCUUCCGCAAUGGGCGAAAGCCUGACGGAGCAACGCCGCGUGAGUGAUGAAGGUCUUCGGAUCGUAAAACUCUGUUAUUAGGGAAGAACAAAUGUGUAAGUAACUAUGCACGUCUUGACGGUACCUAAUCAGAAAGCCACGGCUAACUACGUG